ACUCCUACGGGAGGCUGCAGUAGGGAAUCUUCCACAAUGGACGAAAGUCUGAUGGAGCAACGCCGCGUGAGUGAAGAAGGGUUUCGGCUCGUAAAACUCUGUUGUUAAAGAAGAACAUAUCUGAGAGUAACUGUUCAGGUAUUGACGGUAUUUAACCAGAAAGCCACGGCUAACUACGUGCCAGCAGCCGCGGUAAUACGUAGGUGGCAAGCGUUGUCCGGAUUUAUUGGGCGUAAAGCGAGCGCAGGCGGUUUUUUAAGUCUGAUGUGAAAGCCUUCGGCUCAACCGAAGAAGUGCAUCGGAAACUGGGAAACUUGAGUGCAGAAGAGGACAGUGGAACUCCAUGUGUAGCGGUGAAAUGCGUAGAUAUAUGGAAGAACACCAGUGGCGAAGGCGGCUGUCUGGUCUGUAACUGACGCUGAGGCUCGAAAGUAUGGGUAGCAAACAGGAUUAGAUACCCUGGUAGU
rnacentral:rRNA from 1 species